rnacentral:rRNA from 1 species
GAUGAACGCUGGCGGCGUGCCCAAUACAUGCAAGUCGAGCGAACAGACGAGGAGCUUGCUCCUCUGACGUUAGCGGCGGACGGGUGAGUAACACGUGGAUAACCUACCUAUAAGACUGGGAUAAAUUCGGGAAACCGGAGCUAAUACCGGAUAAUAUAUUGAACCGCAUGGUUCAAUAGUGAAAGACGGUUUUGCUGUCACUUAUAGAUGGAUCCGCGCCGCAUUAGCUAGUUGGUAAGGUAACGGCUUACCAAGGCAACGAUGCGUAGCCGACCUGAGAGGGUGAUCGGCCACACUGGAACUGAGACACGGUCCAGACUCCUACGGGAGGCAGCAGUAGGGAAUCUUCCGCAAUGGGCGAAAGCCUGACGGAGCAACGCCGCGUGAGUGAUGAAGGUCUUCGGAUCGUAAAACUCUGUUAUUAGGGAAGAACAAAUGUGUAAGUAACUAUGCACGUCUUGACGGUACCUAAUCAGAAAGCCACGGCUAACUACGUG